CCAGCCCUAGAAUCAGCAGUUUCUCCAAGGGGGAUGAUUCUUUUUAUCAGAGGAUGUUAUUAGAAAGAAAGAUCUGAGCGCUGGGUGUGCUCUUUGCUAUGGUGUGUCAUUGCAUCUGGGUCUUCUCAGAUGGAGACGGAAAAUAUGAACCUGUGUAUUACCCAUAUCUCUAACCAUUUCUCUAUCCAUCUGUAUCUUUAUUAAGCUCAACAGAGGUCAUAAUGAUAUCUCUGACUCUAAUCCAGUACAACAUGUCUUAUUCCAGCCUUUCCCUCUUUCUCAUCUGUAAUCUCCCUCUCCAACAGUGAGAGAAACUUGAUUUCCAGCAUCUACCAUCUAUUUACGAAUUUUUCAUUCCAGUGUCCAUGCACCGCAGUUUCAGAAGUGUAACCCUAUGCAAAACAACUUUACCAAUGAGAGUGCCGUGCUCAUGUACGGUUCCUUUUGUCUUUAAUCAUUUCCAAAGUUACUUAGGUCAUCACCCUUUUCCUCCAACCCCCUUCAGUGAAUAUAUACCAUACAUUAGUAAUAGAUUGUCACAGUCUGCAUUCCAUCCUGGGAUCCUCUGACCUCCUAGUUUAUUUUUUUUUUUUAAGUUUGCAUACAUUAAGGUUUACUUUUUUUUUUUUUUUUUUUUUUUUUCUGCUGCAUGUGCAGCGUAUGGAAAUUCCCAGGCUAGGGGUCAAAUCGGAGCUGUAGCUGCUGGCUGAUGCCACAGCCAUGGCAACACCAGAUCCCAGCCCCGUCCUUGACCUACACCACAGCUUGUGGCAAUGCCAGGUCUUUAACCCACUAAGUGAGGCCAGGGAUGGAGCCCACAUCCUUGUGGAGACUGUGUCAGGUUCUUAACCCAGUGAGCCACAAUGGGCACUCCAACCUUUACCUUUUAUGCUGUAAAAUUCUAUGGGUUUUGUCAAAUGCAGUGUUAUGUAUCUACUACUAUAUUGCCAUACAGAGUAGCUUCAUUGUCCUAAGAACUCUCUGGUGCUUCACCUAGUCAGUACUCUUCCCUCCCAAAACUUCUGGCGAGUUUAACUUGUUUUUCAUCUUUAUAGUGUUCCCUUUUCCAAAAUGUGAUAUGAAUGGAAUCAUACAUUAUGCAGUCUUUUGAAACUGGAUCCUUUAACUUAUCAAUAUGAUUUAAGAUUCUUCCAUGUUGUUGCAUGAAUUAGUAGUUCAUCCCCCUUUGAUAGCUGAGUAAUAUUCUGUAGUAUGAAUGUAGUAGUAUGGAUGCAAUUUGUUUAUCCAUUUAUUUGUUGAAGGAUAUCUUGCUUGCUUCCAAUUUUUUGUGAUUAUGGAUGAAGUUACUAUAAACUUUUACGUGUGUGUUUUUGUGCAGUUGUAAGUUUUCCAGUCAGUUGGGUCAGUGUCAAGGGCAGCAGUGGCUGGAUGGCACAGUAGGUCUCUGUUUAGCAUUGUAACAAACUGCCAAACCGUCUUCCAGAGUGGGUAUACCAUUUUGCAUUCCCAGCAGCAGUGAUAGAUUCUUGCUCUGCAUCCUUGCUAGAAUUUGAUAUUGUCAGAUUUGGGAAUUUUAGCUGUUCUAAUUCAUGUGUAGUGAUAUCUUGUCUUAAGUUCUAUUUCCUUAAUGACAAAUGAGGCUGAGCAUCUUUUCAUAUGCUUAUAUGCCAUGGGUAUGUCUCCUUCAGUGAAUGAUCUAUUUAAAUCUUUGACCCAUUUUUCAAAUUGAGUUGUUUGUUUUCUUAUUUAGCUUUGAGGACUCUUUGGUUAUCUGAGUAUAAGUCCUUUAACAGACAUGUAGUUUGCAAAUAUUUUCACCCAGUCUGUGUUUUGUCGUGGGCAGGUAGGUUUUAAAAAAGUUCUCUGGAUGAUUCUGAACCUCUAGUUCGAAGUCUCUGUUCUGAAGAGGAGAANNNNNNNNNNNNNNNNNCCCUCUCUUACUAGUCAGCCUCUCUGGAUCCUGAUGGCCUUGUCUGUAAAAUGAGGAGUAUUAAGUUACCUUCCAGAGAGCAGGUAUCUUUCCAUUUUCAGUUGUGUGAUUCUGUGACCACCUGACCUUUUGCAACCCUCCUGGAAUGCUCCCAGCAUACAGUUAGAUCUCCUUACCUCUCUAAUUGCUUUCACAAAGGAAAAGAACCACACAAUCCAGACGUGGAGAGUCUUUUAUUUCUUUGUGGAAUUUUAUUACUCCCACUGCCUAAAACUCAAAACUGUUAGGGUGGCAUGCCAGAGUGAAAUAAAUCUGUCAGUAACUUUAAAAUGACAAUAGGACAAAAAUCUACUGGAUCAUGUCUCAGAGGUACUGCUCACUGAAAUGACCUCCAUGUUUUCCAUGUAUUAUAAACUUUGCACAUUUGUAGACAGGUGAGAAAACCAUUUGGCAGUUUAGAAUUUCUCUCUAGGCUUUUUGUUUUGUUUUGCUUUUUUGCUUUUUUUGCUUUUAGGGCCACACGUGGCAUAUGGAAGUUCCCAGGCCAGGGGUCAAAUUGGAGCUGUGGUUGCCGGCCUACACCACAGCCACAGCAACAGGGGAUCCAAGCUGUGUCUGUGACCUACACCACAGCUCAUGGCCCCACAGGAUCCUUAACCCACUGAGCGAGGCCAGGGAUCAAACCCAUGUCCUCAUGGAUACUAGUUGGGGUCAUUACCUAGAGCCACAUAAGGAACGCCCUCUGUCCUUCUUCUGUGUAGUUACUCCACCAUUAAAAAGCAGACACCAUUUCUAUAAAAGCUGUUUUUUUUUUUUUUCCCCUGAAAAAAUAUCCCCUGAAGGGCAAAACGGGAAAACUACAAAAUAUUAGAUGCAUAAAGAGUAAGGGUACAGUUCCUCGAAGAUUAUCUGUAGAGUGGAAUAAUUUUGAUAUUAAUAAGCCUUAGAAUUACAACACAAAAAGUACAGAAGUAAUUACUUUUCCUAACAAAAUCAAACUUGUGAAGGCCCUUAUCCUAUUCCAUGGUGUUAUUAAAUCUGGAACGUGGAAUCCUUUUUCAACUUCAAUUUUAGUGCAAUGCAUUAUAAACUCAAACAUCAUAGUCAGAAAAAUCCUGUUACUCACUUAGUUUCUGUUUCUGGCUUCUGCCAUUAUGCCCAUGUUUUCUUAUCUUAAUGAUUUUGUGGGAGUAGCAUAGCACAGGCUCUGGAAUCAGAAAAAGAGUUGUGAGCUUCAUUACUUACUAGCUGAGAGGUUUUUGGCAAGUUCCUUAACCUCCCUAAACUUUGUUUCCUCAUGUAUAUACCAUGUAGAUAAUAAUAAUAUCUACUUGAAUUGCCCUGUAAAGAAACUAAUAGAACACGAAGAGUGCUUAGCUCCAUGACUGGCAUAAAUUUGUUGCUGCGGCUACGCCUCCUGGUUUAGAUGACGUCAUCUCGGUGUUGGAUUUUGAGUGAGAAGAUCAGAGGGCCGGAGACAUAGUAGGAGCCUGUAAGGGAGACUACUGUUGAAAUUCCCUGGCAAAAUCAUCCGUGUAGAAAACUCGUAGGCUUCUAAGGAGGCUCAGAAAGAAUGGUCCGAGCAGUAAGAGGAAAGCCCAGCGAAAGGAUACCAUUGGCACCGAGGGAGAGGGUUCACCCAAGCGGGAAGGAAUAGGGAAUAGCACCUGGGGCAGCAGAGGGAUCGCAGACAAAAGGCUCUGCAUCGGUUUAUGGAUUAGAGAAAGGGCAUCAGUGGAGCAGUGAGGGAGAUGGGGUAGCUGACAGCUGGGGGCGGGGGGCGGUCAAGACUGAGGCAUGACCGAUGCGGAAGAAGGAGAGAGCCCCUGUGAAGGUUACUCUCCAGCAGCUUGGAGGGGAAGCAGAAUUAUAAAAUGUGGCUAGAAGAGAUCUGGGUUUUUUUUUGGUUUUUUGGUUUUUUUUUAAGUUGGGAGAAACUUUAUUGUGUUUGUUUAUAGAGGAGAAAGAGCCAGUGGAGAGUUAACAAUGGGAGUUUGAGGAGAUAUAUGGGUGCUGAUGGAUGGGAAACGUUUUUGAAGAGUUAGGAGGGCAUGAGAAGCCACAAAGCACAGGGAGGAAGGAGCUUUAGACAAAAGAAGGGCAGAAUGGGUGAAAUAGAUGAGCUCGUGGGUAGUGGGAAGGAGGGAAAGGUGAGAGUUUGUUCUUGAUAUGCUCAACUUUCUGGAAAGUAGGAAGAUGGCGAAGAUGCUCGAGAUAAUUUGAAGAGAAGGAUGAAGGUUUAGAAAAGUCCCCAGCAAACGGGAUUGAGCUGACCAGGCAAUAGCAAGCAUAGCUCGUGUUCAUGUCUUCAUUUGUGGGGGUUUUCCCAGUAUUUCUCAACAAAAUAUGGGAGCAUCAUAAUCAGAUGAUUGAAUCUGACCUUGUGUUUUUAAUAAUAAUUUGUAGUUUUUGAAGCUUUCAAGAAAAAAAUAGGAGGAAUGAACUCCCCUUAUACCUGUAUGGUUGGCAUAGAUUCACCAGUUGUUAACAUUUUGCCACAUUUGCUUUAUCACUUUCAUGUAUAAUGAUUAUGUUGUUGAACUGCUAGAGAGUAAGUUAGACUUUGUGAUUGUUUAAUGUUAAAUACUCCAGCAUUUAUCUCCUAGAAACAUAAGACGUUCCUUAUAACCCCCAACAAUGUUAUAUUCAAGAAGUUUAACACCGUCACAAUACUAUUAUUGAAUGUAGAGUCUAUAUUCAAAUUUCUCCAAAUGUCUUUAUAGCUUCAAAUAAAUCCAGGAUUUUUAGAAUCAAGCAUUGCAUUCAGUGGAGAGCCAGGAUUUUCAUCUCAUUUAAUCUGGAAGAGAUUUUUUUUUCCUCCUUCAUGACAUUGAUGUUUUUGAAGCAUACAGUCUAGUCAUUUAAAAAAAUAUCCAUACGUUUUGGUUUGUCUGUUUCCUCACUGUUAAACCUGGAUUUUGCGUUUUUAACAGGAAUACAACAUACGCGUUGUGUUCUUAUCUGCGUACUACAUCAAGAGGCAUACUCAGUUUGUGCCAUUAUUGGUCAUACUAAGCAAGGUAACUUGGUUGAGGUGGUAUCUGGUAGGUUUCUUUGCUGUAAAGUUACUAUUUUCACCUUUUAAAUUAAUAAGUAAUUAGAGCAGUUCCUGUCAUGGCUCAGAGGAAACGAAUCUAAGGAGCAUCCAUGAGGAUGAAGACUCGAUCCCUGGCUUUGCCCAGUGGGUUAAGGAUCCAGCACUGCCCUGAGCUGUGGUGUAGGUCACAGAUGUGGCUAGGAUCCCGUGUUGCUGAGGCUGUGGUGUAGGCCAGCAGCUACAGCUCUGAUUCUCCCCUUAGCCUGGGAACCUCCAUAUGCCACAGGUGUGGUCCUAAAAAGACAAGAAUAAAAAAAAUUAACAGUAAUUUUGUGGGGAGAUAGAACCUGGGAAAUUAUGUAACUACCUAAAUAUCCUGUUUCAAUUUCCACCUAGAAGUUUUAGCAUCUAUUGAUGAUCCUUGCAUAUGUCAAUUAUUAUGACGGUUACAAAAUACAGCUUUUCUGAAGUAUUCUUUCUGUGCUUAUCAGUUGGCUGGGCUGGAGCUCUGGAGUUUUGUUCAGUGCAAAGAGAAGGUGUCAAGAUGAAGGCAGUGGUGAGAUAAUGAGCGUGUGGUCUAAGCUGGCUAGGGAAGAAACCGAAACCAGAGGAUGCUGGGAGUAUCGCUGCCCAGUAAAUAUCCUGGGAAUAAGAGAACAAGAGACCUAAACGAGCAGCAAGUUAUGGUCAGAGGUGAAGAUUUCUGGAGUUUAAGAUUGGUAGGGCAGAGCUGUUCUGGGCCAUUGACGUCUAUUGAUUGCCAUGGACUCUGAGGAUUGCUUGAGUAGAGAGAAGUCUUUUCCAUUAGGAGGAAGCAAAGCAAUUCUAAGACUAGGAUCCUGAAUAAAUGAUAAUGGGGUGACUAGGAGAGGGAUUUUACAAGCCAAGUACCAAAAUGCUGCAUGUGCAAGAUCCAUAGUGAGUCUAAUGACGGGGAUAGGAAGAGCAAGGGGGAAGCCAGAAAUCAUGGCCCAAAAGGAAAGGUUUUGAUGGGUAAGUGAAGAAGCAGUGACUUAGAAGUGGGGACAGAGGGUGUAAGAAUAAUGACAUCUUUUUUUUUUUUUUUUCAAACUCAGUGUUGAGUGGGCAUUGGUUAUACCUUCUCCAGCUAAGAGCCUCUCAGAUGUGAGGCAUCUUCCGAGGAGAGCCAGGAUUUUGAGUAAAGGUGAAAAACUAGAGAAAGCUUUGAAGAAGAGGGGUAAGCAUGGCCUUACUACUGUGGACAGGGACAGAGGGCACAGGGAAAGGGCAGUGGGAUAGGCAGUCAUAGCGAUAGAGCCUAGGAGGAGAGGGGGAGCUUCAGGUCGUCCUGGCAUGAGAACACCUGUGCGGGGGGAGAACUAAACAUUCAAGGGCAAAGGAUGGAAAGAAACAAGACAAAGGGAGGUUAGGGCUGAUGUCAGGGUUGUGCCUGGACCUCCAGGACACAGACAGGUCAGCCCUUAUAUUUUCAGCUUUGUGAAGUCAUAGAGAUCCUUGCCAUUGUAGCAUAAAAGCAGCCAUACAAUACAAAAUUGAAUGAGAGCAGCUAUGUUCCAAUAAAAACUCUUUGUGGCCACUGAAAUUUAAUUUCAUAUGAUAUUCACAUGUCACCAAAGAUUUUUAUUUUGAUUUCCCCCCCAACCAUCUUAAAAAAUGUGAAAUUUAUUCUCAGCCUGAGGACUGUACAAAAAAGACAUUAGGGGUUCCCACUGUAUCCCAGUGGGUUAAGAAUCUGACUGUGGUGGCUUGGGUCACUGCAGAGGUGUGGGUUUGAUCCCUGGGCUGGCGUAGUGGGGUAAAAGAUCCAGUGUUGCCACAGUUGUGGCUGGUUUUCAAUCCCUGGCCUGGGAACAUCCAUUUGCAGUGGGGGUGUCCAUUUAAAAAAAAAAAAAA
ensembl:lncRNA